ACCCAUCUCUCAAACUCCUCCUCAAACCUCUCUCUCUCUCAUCUCCGAUCAGAGCUCAGGCAAAUGGCGGCAACAAUGGCGACAUCAGCCAAAUGCAUGUCAUCUCCUCCUAAACCCCUAAACCAAACCAAACCCAUCUCUUCCAAACCCUUCAUCUCCCUCCCAACCCCACCAAAACCCACCGUCUCUCUCGCCGUCACAAGCACCGCCCUCGCCGGCGCCGUCUUCUCCGCCCUCAGCUACUCCGAACCCGCUUUCGCCGCCCACCAGAUCGCUAACCUCGCCGCGGCCGCCGCCGUGGAAGGCAGCGACAACCGUGGCUUAGCUCUCCUCCUCCCGAUCGUCCCGGCCAUCGGAUGGGUCCUCUUCAACAUCCUCCAGCCUGCUCUUAACCAGGUCAACAAGAUGCGCGAGAGCAGAGGAGUCGUCGUUGGUCUUGGCAUCGGCGGUGGUCUCGCCGCGUCCGGGCUUUUGACUUCGCCGCCUGAGGCAUCGGCGAGUGUGGCUAACGAGAUGGCGGCGGUGGCGGAAGCUGCGGCGAAAGUUGGAGACAACAGGGGACAGUUGUUGUUGUUUGUGGUUGCUCCGGCUCUGCUUUGGGUUCUUUACAAUAUAUUGCAGCCUGCUUUGAACCAACUCAACAAAAUGAGGUCUAAAUAAAAAAUAAAACUUUUUAUAUUAUCUUUGUUGGGAUUCAAAUGUAAGAUUAAUCCUUUGUUUUAUGGACAGUUUUAUGUUUAAAUUUUGGGACAAUUAUCAUCCUUGUUUGAUCUCGUCUGCUACUACUAUAUACUCCGAUUUUUAACUGUAACUAGGUUGCGCUUAUAAGAUCAUUUGUCCCUAUAUAUACAUGGUUUUGUUGUUUCAAAAUCAUCAUAACCUAUCGUAAAUACUAAUCUAAGCCAAAACAUAAACUUUAUGUCCUUGGCUAUAACAAUGUUCAGUUUGUAAAAUGCAUUGCAAACUGAACAUUGUUACCUCCCAUUCCUCUUGAUUCCUUUGUAAGCCAUAUUGAAAGGUUUCACCUUCUCAAGGUACUCUCGCAGAGACAUUGGUGGCUUCUCAUUAAUGUCAGGAUUCAAUUUUUGCUCACACUCAAUCUAGAGACACAGAAAACUUGAGAGAUUCAACAUAUAUUUUCAUGCAAAGCCAAACAACAAAAAGGCACUUUCUCCAUCGGUUCCUUGAGCUGAAACACCAAGUUCACAAUGAAAGAACCAAAGACCUCAGAGGCUGUUAAAACUUGAUAAACUCUGAGAAUCAUACAGGCCUAUUAAGUUAACAAUCGUCUACAUUUCAAAGCUACCACAAGUUAUGAAUCAUAUCACAUGUCCUACCACAUUGCUUCUCGUUGAAAAUUCAGUAUCAGCAUUUUCUUGCAUCAAGUUGUAAACUUUACCACGAGAUUGGUUUCAUAAGCAUCAUGAGCAGUAUGAUGCAAAUCCCUUUCGCAUAUACCCUUCAUAAACCUUGUGCUAAAUGUUUCAUAAUCUUAGGUCCCAUUUUUCUUAUCAAACUUCUCUCCAUCGACAGAAUCUCCAACGAAUAUAUUCAAAGCCUCUUGUUCAGCUGAGAAACCCGGAAUUGGAUUCAUGGAAAAGAAUAGAAAUUUAAGAUGAGGAAUCAGAAGAAGGAGAUGAGAAGAUGGAAGAACUUUGAGGUUAAAGGUGUGGCUGAUCAGAUCAGAGACGCCACUCUCUGAUCUUCUCUCCAUAUCAUCCAUCUUCACUGCCGAUUGCGGAACCUCGUCCACGGCCGCGGCCACGGUCAGCGACGUCGGAGGAAGAGGAGAAAUGAGAUUUGGGUUGUUGUUGGAUGAGAAAAUGGAAUCUGUUUGGCUAUGGAUGAAAGCAUAAUGCCAUUAGGGUUUGACAAUCUUCUUCCUAUAGCAGCACCUCUCAUCUGGUGAUUUCUUCAAGCAAGAAUUUCUAAAUACAAUGGUCAAUGGCGAUCGAAAAUUUCCGAUUUCGAAGGUUUUUUAAUUUUCCGUUACUGUGUGAAAAAUGGGGGUAUUUCUCACGUGACGCCUUUUCAGAUGGAUCAAUUAUUGCAUAAUUUCACUCCCGUCCCUAAUGUUUUUCAUUCCAGACGAAAACGGAUCUAUCUUUUCGAAUAGAUUAAGAACCCCCAAUAAUUGGAGCUAUUAGGCAAAGUUAUGCUUGGCGAGUAAGCAUCAUGCGUCGACAUAUAGCUAGUGCAUGUAAUUUUCUUGUUCUGGCUCCAAUAGAGCAUAUGAUGUAAAUGAAUAAACCGGUGGUUAAUUAGAUUAAGUAGACCCUCAUUACCUUUCGUUAGUCACCUAAUGUCGUGUGUUUGACUGUUUAACUAUUAAUGAAUUGAUGUGUGUAACAAGCUAAAUUAUCCAAUACCAAUGGCCACAUGGCUUGGUUUCCUAAAUAUAGGUGAAAUACGUUACUUGUAAAUUGUAAUAACCUCUCAAAACAUUUCAUUACUUUUUCCAACAUUCAAUUUUAUUCAAAUAAAUAAAUAAAAAAAAAGUGAGGAUAUCAACGAUUCGUGUACGUUAGUCUUUUGAAUUUUAGAACACGGAAACAAUCUGGGGAACAUGGAGAAACUAAUAAUAGCUUACAAGUCUUACAAAGAUCAAGAACAGUAACUUUCAAGAUACCAACUGCAAGAAGAAGAAAGUCUUGCAGUAACUUAAGCCCUGACAAAAAGUUUUCAUUCCUUUUUCCUGGAGUCUUUAAGCAGACCCUUCUUCCGGAUCUGGAGGCACCUCUUAAUGUUAAAGGAUUCAAAAACGCUCUCGGGCAAUGCAGAGACAACAAAACCCAUGAGGGCAUGAGGCCAGUACGGUGUGCACCGUGCUUCAUAGCCUACAAAACGCAGUGCUGCCUUUGCGUAUCCCUCUGGAGAUGCCACCAAGAAAGAUGCUCUUCUUAUUGAUGUCAUCUUUGUCGCAACAUACAAGGGAACCUAUGAAAACAGCCACCGAAAUUUUAGACAUAUAGUCUCAAGAAAUCAAUAAAGUUAUUGACCAGUGUGACCCAUUAAACUUGUUUUGGUUAUAUUUAACUCCAAACUCAGCUAUAACAGACAUGGAAAAGCCCACAGAUUCUACAUCUGAAACAAUUAAUCAUCUAAGAUCACGACAUAGAUUCCCUAGCUUCCUAGUUUUAACAUUCCUCAAUAGAUAAUCAGAAACGAGAUCUCACAUCAGAGAAGUAUUCAGAAAAGAGAAAUGUAAUGCAAUAGUUCCUCAUUAGCUUAAAACUACAAAUCAUCAACCUUCUAGGUCCACUAAAGAAACAGAAACAGGGCCAGAAAACCAUGAAAAAAUACAGCAUUCCUCGUCUUCUAGAAUGUUUUUUAACAAAUGGGCCAAAUGAUUUAGCUUUGAUAACCUAUGAUCCAUCUGCAAUACCAUUUUUUCUUUCUUACAAAGAUAAGAUCGGGAUUACUCAUUGCUCAAUCCUACUUUCGGUUCUUACGAAUCUACACUUACAAGCAAUACCAUCUACUGUCUUAAACAAAUCCCAAAUCUCUUUCUUCCAGCAUAAAAUCUCUAACAAAAUCAAUCCAAAGACACAAAACGAAGCAGCAAUGAUUCAGGAAAGCUCACCUGGCAUUGAACAUCAAUCCCACUCUUCUUGUACUCAACAUGGAGACACCUUGUGAACUGAUCCACGUACCUGAGACAGAGAAGAAACAAGCAUGCAAACAAACAAUGUUACUUCUCAAUACAACUCGAAGCAUCAGGUUUCAAACAAAGAACGGUUCUUGAUCUGGAUGCCUUACGUUUUGGCGCCGGCAUAAACAGAGUAGAAAGGAUACGAAGGGAUAAGAGCAGCAGCACCAGAACCCAUAUUGAUAAUGGCUCCUCGCUUCCUCUGAAGCAUAUUAGGCAACACAGCCUGAGUAACCUUGGUGGUUCCUUCAACGUUGAUCUUGAUCAAGUUAUUAAGCAAAUCUUCAUCAACCUCGUGGAAGUACUUAGCGUAAGGAUACGACAUCCCAGCGUUGUUAAUCAGAAUACCAAUCUCCAAACCCUCGAUCGUCUCCUUGAUACGCCUCACGCCUUCAUCGAUAUCUCCGGAGAAAUCCAUCACCACCGUCUUGAUCUGGGUAUUACUGUACUUGGAUCUAAUCGAAUCGCAGACAUCGUUGAGCUUGUCGGGGUUACGAGCGACGAGUACGAGGUUGAGACCUUUCUGGGCUAACUGAAAGGCGAAAGCUUUACCGAUACCGUCGGUGGGUCCGGUGACGAUGGCCCAGGAUCCGUAUCGCCGGAGAUUCUUGCCGGGUCGGAGGAAGUAGAUGUAGAAAGAUCUGAGGAGGGAGAAGACGAAUUUGAGGAUGGAGAUUGAGCCGAGGGCGAAGAGGACGAGGAGCCAGGUGGGCUGGGAUUUGAAGUAAGUACAGAUCUCCAUGAGAGAAAGAAAUGGUUUUUCAGUCAAAUGAGAAGAGAAAAUUAGGGUUUUUUAAGGGGAGAGAGAGAGAUGGGAAGUGGGGGAAGAAGAAUUGAAUUCGACGGAAGAGACGAAGGUGGGUAGAAGUAGAUGAGCAGCAAACCACCGGAAUUAACUACUCUCUCUUCUUAACCUUCUCUGAUUUUAUUUUUAUUUUUAUUUUUCUGUUGUGUCGUCUUUCUUAAAUUUCGUUCAUGUGAAUUUGGAAACUUGGGACCUACGAUGUUGACAUUUCUAUUUACAUACCCAUAAAUGACAAACUCAAGCUCACAUGGUGACUUGAUAGACAAAACACAAGGAUUCAAAUGGUGAAAGCUGAAUAAACGGUUUACUUAAGCAAACGAAUGUAAAUAUUUGUUUUUUUAUGAUGUGUUCAAAUCAAAUGUGAACAAUGUAACUGGUCGGAGAAUCAACAUUUCUGAUGGAAGGAAAGGUGGAUCUAGUUCUAAUGUCGGCAAAGAAGUGAUCCUUGGGCACACUCAGCAAUUUGCUGAGAAGAUAAGCGACUUGAGGAAAACAAACAAAGGAAUGAUGUCAAUCGUCUCUGCAUACAUGGCUUUUAGGGACUAAAUUAAUCUCGUGUAUAUGAACUAAGCAUAAAUGAUUGAUAUGAUGAGUAAGUUGUUUCUAUAUUCAUAGACUAAUUUUUUAGCGAUCGAAUGAACUGAUAUGGCUUUAUUUUGUUGGAAGCAGCUAAGAUGUAUUUAUAAGAGAAAACAGAUUUUGGAUUUUGCUAAUUAUGAGACUAGGAAACCGAUGGAUGUGUGGUUUUGACAGGUGCGACAUAAUGUAAUUGCAUCAAGGUAGUCUGUUUUGAUGUCCAUUAUAUCUAAAAUUGCGUUUUAACACCUUUGUCGCAUGAAACAUUUAAUGCUUGUUUAGUAUUUAGGAGUUGUGCUAUGGUUCUUUUGUUGAUGAUUCUUUAAAAAGUGAGCAUUUUACCUCGGCUCCUAGAAAUUUUCUUCCUGUUGGAUGGGAUUUGUCGUUGUAGUCGAAUGUUUCAUCAGCUUUUUCAUCACUUAUCAAUUAAUAAACACAUACAAAUCAUAUUAUUCGUAAAAAUAAAACAUGAAAACAUUUGACAAACACAUGAAGAAGAAUAACAUUGUGCCUUAAAUAGUUCCCCUUCAUAACUUACUUAAAUUUAUCAACAUGAUGAUUAUUUUGACAUUGAAAAAAUAAUGCUCAAAUGAUGCAUUCUAUGCAGACUCAUUUUAAUAAUAUUGACAAAGUAUGAAGUAUGGACCUUUUGAUAUAUGUUUUUAGUACCAAUUUUCAUUUGAGCAAGUUUUGAGCAUGACUUUCCUAUAAAUUGGAUAUCCCAAGAAUUUUGGCGGAUCAGAGCUUUGUUGUUGUGGGCUGCGUGUCAGUGGCUCUUUCGUCAUGGAGAAUUGACUUUAAGGUGGUGGUAAUAUGUGUUAGUGUUGUAUACUUAUUCAUCACCGAUAAUACUCAAAUAAUGCAUUCUAUGCAGACUCAUUUUAAUAAUAUUGACAAAGUAUGAAUAUAGACCUUUUGAUAUAUGUUUUUAAUACUAAAAUUUUCAUUCGAGUAAGUUUUGAGCAUAACUUUUUGGACAUAUUUAUUUCUAAAAUUUGGUAAAGAAACAUAGAAUCUCAAGCAGAUGACAACAACUCUAGAGAAGGAAGCGGUUCUACCAAAGGAAGCAGCUCUGCAGAACAAGUGGCCAUUUCAAAAUCCUCCAACAAGCUUCCCCCAUCUCUAAAAGAAAUCUGUGAUGAACAAUUUACUGAGAAGGUCUUUGACUCAGGUAAUCUUAUGUGCUUUUACUUCUCUUGCUAGAAAUGAAUGUCUUUGUAGUCCUUUACUGAUUCUUGAGCGGGUUUGUUUGGUUUCUAUAUGAAUCUCCUCAUAGCUAUUACUUGUAUAUAAAAUAAAUGUAGUUAUUCAUUAUGUUGUUAACCUGCAUAUUCUUACAAACAAAACCUUAGAGUUAAUGGAAUCUUUCGUUGAGUUGAAAGCUAAAAUUUGUCAUAAAAAUGAGAGUAUAUCUUUAUAUCGCUAUAUAGAAUUGUGCACGGAAGAUGUUAAUCCCCCAAGUAGUGCUUUUACCACCCCUAGUGGAACACUAUACUGAUACAUUAUCCUGUCAUUUUUGUCUCAAUGAAUAAUGACACGUUUUUUAAUUCAUUGCGGUCUUAGUAAACUGUUUGAUAUACUUUUAAUUUACAACAAGAGCUGCAUAAUUCCCCUAUUUGAUAUCCACAUGAACUUCUCGAGAUGUUCUGAUUCAAUUUGCCUUAAAUAUUCUGAUAAAAUCUGCAAAAAUAUUAUACCACUAUAGCGUUAUACACAUUAGGGUUCAAUUUCAUGUAUGCUUUCCCGUAGACUGUCUUCUUCAACUGUUAUGCCUUUUUCAACUUUCGUUUAGCCGACUGUGAUUAAAAAGGAGAAUUCUGAUAAUACAUACUCAAAUAUAGAAUAUUUACAAAAAACAAUAUUAUUUUGCACUUUUACUAGAAAAUAUUUCUAUUUUUUUUAUUAAGAUUUAGGUCUCCAUUUAUAAAUUUUUUGUAAAAUUAUUUUUAAGCAGUGGUUUUGUCAUCUUUCACCACAAAACAUGAUAAACAUUUCAUCUAAAGUGUGCUAACAAUUCGGUUGUCUUAAACAUAUCACCUAAUUAACUCUUAAUUCUAGACUUCUAGUUAAUGGCCAUAUAUUUCCAUUUUGUAUGUGUGAACUUUACUGGACUAGCCUUUAACUCUAUCAACUCAAUUGUAUUUGAAUUAAAGUUUUGUAAAUAAAAAAGUCACUAUACUUAUUAAUUGGGCUAAAGACAAAUUUAGAAGCUGUAUACACAAAACUUAACUGUUAUUUCAAUUUUUUUAUCACACUAAAUAUUUGGUCGAAACUAUAAAAAUUAUUUGGAGUCACACAUGUAUAAUCAAUGUGUUAGGAUCACUAUUUAAAAUAAUCAAAACUUAUAUGAUUAUUUUGAUAUUAAAACAAAGACUAAGGACAUAAGUGUUAUAAAAAAUUAAUAUAAGGAUGCAUUUAAUAAUUUCUAAUUUGAUGACGAGCCGAAUUAGAAAUUAUUUCUCUAUAUAAAUAGAAAGGUUAUGGUCUCUAUGAUAACUCUAGCAAUAAAUACAGAAAUUAUCCGCAUCUCAUUAACAGAGACAUACAGUUAUUCAGUUGUUGUUGUAGAAGAAGUAUUCCUAAAAUUCAGAGCAUAAACCAUAGAUCCAAAAGGUACGCUUCUGCUUCUAUUCUUAUUAAUUAGAAACUGUCAUGUUAUAUUAGUUUAGUGGUUUAUAAAAAAAUAAAACCUUUCAGAAACUGCAACAUAAAACUUGUAUAGGCUAGAGGAAUAUUAUUUUUUGGUAAAAGGUUAAGUUUUAAACCAUUUUCGAUUUUUUACAGGAGACAGAGAUACAAUAAAAAAACAGAUUAACCAAAAAACUACAGUAGAUUAACGAAAAACGACAAGAAUAAAACAGAAAAACAGCAGGCUAGAGGAAUAUGGUGUUGAAUAAUGUAAACUUUAUAGACAACUUUAUACGUCAUGUGUGUUGAGUUUAAUAUCACCUUCCACUUGGAACAAUGGUGUUGUUGCCUUGUUGCUGAGCUUGCUAAGGUUGGGUUGUGGGUUAGUUGAAGACAGUGGCGGAUCUAGAAAAAAAAUUAGUAGGGGACAUAACUUUAUAAAUAAGAAAAACAAAUUUUAGUUGGGGGCACUUUUUAUAUUUUAACACUACAUUAAAAAUAUUUUAAUUAAACAUAUCUAAAUUAUUUAAGAAAAAUUAAAAAGUAGUAAGGGGCACAGGACUCUGUCCGACGUAAGGUAGCUCCGCCCUUGGUUGAAGACAUAGUGGACAUGCAGCAAAUAUAGUUCUUUCAUAUUUAAAUUUAUCUACAUUUACAUAAUUUUGCAUUCAUUAUACAAAUAUACUGUAUUGUAUAAUAUAUGAGAUAAUAUACUUUAUUUUUGAAAAUAUAUACAGUAGCUUUUUUUUGUCAACUAGCUUAAUUUUGUCAAUAGAGUUUUUUAAACUCAUUUGUUUUUUGAACUUGAAAUAAAGGUUCGUGAAAUUGUGUGCGACACCACUUUAACAAAAGCAAGUAGCCAAAGGAGAAAAGGUGAAACCGAUGCCUUUAAUUUUCCGGAAUGUAGAAAAAGAAAAAGCUAAUCCGAAUAUAUAAAGAAAGACAAAUUCUCUGUGACCAUUCCAUUGCACAGACUCACAACUUUAUAGAGCAAAAGCAAAAACAAUGUGGAGUUUCACCUUUUUUUCUCACUGCAUUCUCAUCACACAGUUUUUCUUUCUUUUCUCGUGAACCUUAAAGCUUUUGUUUUAGAGCAUCGAUGUGUGCGUGAUCUUCAAUGGGUUUAUGCUCAGCUCAACUAGCUGUAACAUGUUUGUUCAUAGUAGUACCUCAUGUUCUGUCUCAAGUCGCAGGUACAUUCUUGCCCAUAAUCUGUUUGUUUAAUUGCUCCAAAGAACUCUUCUUCUUGAUGUGUUCAGUGUUGUAGAACAUGUUUUUGAUGUCCAAUUUCAAAGUAUUAUCUUUAGGUUUAGUAAACAAGGGUUGCCUCAAAGUCUCCAAUUUUCGACUGUUGUUAAAUUAAAAAUGUCCACAUGAAAGAUUGGUGCAAUGGGAUUUAAGCGAGACUCUUUCUUGUCGAGCGUUUUGCUGUAAUUAGUGGGAAAUGAUUGUAAUUUUGAUGAAUGACUAUAUUUUGCAGAGUUUGUAAGUAUAGAUUGUGGUGGCUCAAGUAACUACACGGACCCGAGAACUGGACUAGGAUGGGUUUCAGAUUCAGAGAUUAUCAAGAACGGAAAGGCAGUAGCUUUGGCAAGUACCAAUUUGAACUCGAUGCAAUACCGUAGCAGGAGAGAUUUUCCAACGGAUAAUAAGAAAUAUUGUUACAGACUCAGCACCAAAGAGAGAAGGAGAUACAUUGUCAGAACGACAUUUCUUUACGGUAGCUUGGGAAGUGAAGAAGCCUAUCCAAAGUUUCAACUCUACUUAGAUGCAACGAAAUGGGCUACAGUGACAAUUCAGGAGGUCUCUAGGGUUUAUGUUGAGGAAUUGAUUGUAAGGGCAACUUCAGGUUAUGUGGAUGUGUGUGUAUGCUGUGCUAUCACCGGCUCUCCUUUCUUGUCCACUCUCGAGCUUCGCCCACUGAACCUUUCGAUGUAUGCCACUGAUUACGAGGAUAAUUUCUUCUUGAAGGUUGCUGCCAGAGUGAAUUUUGGUGCUCCAAGCAUGGAUGCCUUGAGGUAAAACCCUAUUGAAACUCUUAUUUCCAUUACAUCAUUCACAAGUAUAAUUUACAAGCAUCGAAAAUUGCUGAAAGACUUUCUCUUUUAGGUACCCUGAUGAUCCAUAUGACAGAAUCUGGGAGUCAGAUGUUAAUAGACGGCCAAACUAUCUUGUUGGUGUGGCUCCUGGAACGACAAGAAUCAAUACAUCAAAGACUAUAAAUACGUUGACUAGAGAGUAUCCGCCUAUGAAAGUCAUGCAAACAGCAGUAGUUGGAACACAAGGACUGCUCAGCUAUAGAUUAAACUUGGAAGACUUCCCUGCUAAUGCUCGGGCAUAUGCUUACUUUGCUGAAAUUGAGGAUCUUGGUGCUAAUGAUACCCGGAAAUUUAAGUUGGUGCAGCCAUACUUCCCUGAUUAUAGUAAUGCGGUGGUGAAUAUUGCUGAGAAUGCCAAUGGGAGCUAUACUCUCUAUGAACCUAGCUACAUGAAUGUUACUUUCGAUUUUGUUUUGUCAUUCUCAUUUGGGAAGACAAAGGAUUCUACGCGAGGGCCACUCCUAAAUGCAAUUGAAAUUAGCAAGUAUCUACAAAUAUCUGUGAGAACUGACAGGAAUGAUGGUGAGUACUAGAGGCUACUGCUUUGUAAAUUCUUCUCUAUAUCUUUUUCCCCAUCUGUGAUGCUGCUGAAAACAUGCAAGUCAAAAUUUGUUGAAAAGAGCUUACAUAAGUUUUCUAAUUCUGCAGUGUCUGUUCUUGAUGCAAUUCGUUCGUUGUCCCCUGAUAGCGAUUGGGCCAAUGAAGGCGGAGACCCUUGUAUCCCAAUUCUUUGGUCGUGGGUAAACUGCAGCUCAACCUCACCACCCAGAGUCACGAAAAUGUAAAUAUCUACAAAACAAAAUUUUACACAAGUAAACAGAGUUUGUGAAAUUUAAUGCUUGAGAUGAUGCAAAUUGACCCUGUUGUGUGCAUCUUACAACAGUGCUCUAUCAAGAAAAAAUCUGAGGGGUGAGAUUCUGCCUGAUAUCAAUUAUAUGGAGGCAUUAACAGAGUUGUGAGUUGUUCGAUGCUGCAUUAAAGAUAUAUUUCGUGGAUUAGUCUCUCUUUGUCUCUGUUAUUCUUUAGUUGAGUGAACUCGCUCUUUUAUAGAUGGCUGGACGGUAAUAAUUUGACUGGAAUCCUUCCAGACAUGAGCAAACUUGUCAACCUGAAGAUCAUGUAAGCUUGGCAAUCUAGACCAAUAUUUCUCUUAUAUCUGAUGACACUCGAAUACCAGAAAGAUUUACUUUGCCUCGUCUCUUUUACAGGCAUCUAGAAAACAAUCAACUUAGUGGCUCACUCCCACCAUACCUUGUCCAUCUGCCUAACCUACAAGAACUGUAUGUAAUCACAAUGUUUGUGAAGCAUUUUGGUUGCUUUAGCAGUGAAUUAUACUACUAUCUUGGCUGCAAUUAUCCACUCUAUGCAUGGCAGUUUUAACACUUGUUAUUAUCUGGCAGGUUUGUAGAAAAUAAUUCUUUCAGAGGAACGAUUCCUUCAGCAUUGUUAAAAGGGAAAGUUUUGUUCAAGUGAGUAUGCUACAUGUACAAGUUGAUUUGUCGAACACAAAAGCUCACAGCAAAUCAAAGAUAAAUUUAGUCUUUUGUCACAGACUGAGUUCAACACGACUUUUGAAAUAUUUUUGAUGGAGUUUCCCCUUGAAGUGUUAACACGCAGCUGUAACAUGCUUUUCUCCAGGUAUGAUAAUAAUCCUGAGCUUCAGAACGAGGCACAUCAAAAGCACUUUAGGCUGAUACUCGGGAUAUCAAUCGCAAUUCUGUUGCUAAUAGUUGGAGGAAGUCUUGUUUUACUUUGUGCCCUUCGAAAGAGGAAAAGAGCUGAUAAAGGUAUAUAGACAUUGGAUUUUGAUCAAAUAGCUGUUAUCAGGUUUUCCCCAAGUGUAGGAAAAUAUAACUCUUGUUUCUUUAGGUGAUUCCACGGGGACUAAGACAAAAGGUUUGGUAGCUUAUUCAGCUGUGCGGGGCGGACACUUAUUAGAUGAAGGUGUAGCAUAUUUCAUAUCGCUUCCUGUGCUUGAAGAGGCCACCGAUAAUUUUUCCAAGAGAGUUGGAAAAGGAAGUUUUGGGUCUGUCUACUAUGGUAAGAUGAAAGAUGGGAAAGAAGUUGCAGUUAAGAUAAUGGCAGAUCCUUCUAGCUACUUGAACAGACAAUUUGUGACUGAGGUAUUGAGCAGACUUCAAAUGCUGAUUUUGGCUUUUUUGUGCCCCAAAAUUUCUUCAUUAGACGAUUUAAUUGGGACAAACGUGCAGGUUGCUCUAUUAUCAAGAAUUCACCACAGGAACUUGGUCCCUUUGAUUGGAUAUUGCGAAGAAGCAGAUCGGCGUUUAUUGGUUUACGAAUAUAUGCACAAUGGAACCUUGGGAGAUCACUUACACGGUUUGUACAAAUUUCCCAGAUACUUCUCAUGCCUAAGUUUAGCUUUUCAUUCUGCGAAUGAUUCAUGAAUUCAAUUCCUGACAGGUUCAAGCGACUACAAGCCAUUAGACUGGACAACUCGGCUACAAAUUGCACAAGACGCUGCCAAAGGUUUGUAGUAAAAAUUCAAGAUUAUAUCUUUAGUGUGGCUAUAUAUAAUAUGAAUCCAUUGGACAGACAAAAACUUCAGAUUAUUACAGGUCUUGAAUACUUGCAUACUGGCUGCAAUCCUAGUAUCAUUCAUAGGGAUGUGAAAUCAAGCAAUAUACUCCUGGACAUUAACAUGAGAGCCAAAGUUUCUGACUUUGGACUCUCCAGGCAGACAGAGGAAGACUUGACUCACGUAUCCAGUGUCGCAAAAGGGACUGUUGGAUACCUUGAUCCAGAGUAAGGCCAACAAUAACAAAAUAUAGUCUUCCAUUUUUAUGAACUGAGACUGAUACGGCAUUGUUUUGACAGGUAUUAUGCUUGUCAGCAGCUGACUGAGAAGAGCGAUGUCUACAGUUUUGGCGUUGUUCUUUUUGAAUUACUCUCUGGAAAGAAACCAGUCUCAGUGGAAGAUUUCGGUCCUGAACUGAACAUAGUUCACUGGGUAAGCAGCUCUACAUCUUCUUUUCUAUUCGAAAGUUUUCACCUUUCACAGUUUUAAAAUUACUACAUCGACAACGUCAAGAUGCAAACAAACCACAAAUCCCUUCCUUUUACAUCUUUCUUGUUCAUCAACAGGCAAGAUCACUGAUCCGUAAAGGAGACGUAUGUGGGAUCAUAGAUCCAUGUGUAUUAGGCAACGUGAAGAUCGAGUCAAUCUGGAGAGUAGCAGAGGUCGCAAACCAAUGCGUUGCGCAGCACGGGCAUUGCAGGCCAAGUAUGCAGGAAGUGAUAGUGGCGAUACAAGACGCGGACAGGAUCGAGAGAGGAAACGAGAACGGGCUUAAGUCAUCGACUUCGAGCAGCUCAAAGGCGCAAUCAUCUCGUAAGACCUUGCUCACUAGCUUCCUGGAGAUAGAGAGCCCUGACAUCUCAAGAAACAGCUUAACUCCAUCUGCUAGGUGAACCAGUCCUCUUGAGGCUAAAGCUCUCAUGUUUAGACUUACCAUUAUAAUUUAUAUGAAUGUGUGUAUGUAUGUAAUGUAUGUACUACGUAGUGUGUAUUAAAAUGUAUCACACACUUCUAACGUCAAUUCUAUAGAUGAUGUACCUGACCCAAUUAAAAAGAAUAUUUCUUCUUUCUUUCUUUUUUGGCAUUUUGCUAUCACUGGAUAAGAAAUCACAUACGUAGACGAACCAGAAGCAAGAAACUUGAGGAUAAUGGCUCCAAAAAUUCAGACUUUUGAGAAAAAAAACUCAGAAUUUAUAUUUAGGACACUUGCAAUCUUUCUUCUUCUUCACCGUUUCUCAUUUGUAGCCUAUCUUUCUCUCAAAACUCAAUUCGAAUUUUGCUUCAUCCCAGUCUCGACGAAGAAGAAGAAGAAGCAGAGCUGUAAUGGCGGCCACAGCUCCAAACUCGUUACGUUCUUCAAAUUUCUUCGGAUCCAACAUCAUAAUCUCAUCUCCCACACCUAAAACCACAACAAAGCCAUCGUUUCCCUUCUCCUUAAUCUCUCGUGGAAGUCGAUACCAAAUUACUCGAUCGGCUCUGCGAAUCGAAGAAGACAAUGGAAAACCCAUAAAGUCAUUGCCGUCGCGAGUAGCCUUAGCAGCGAUUCUCUUCUCAUCGAUUUCUUCCUCGCCGCGAGGAGCUCUAGCUUUGGACGAACCAAUUGCGGCGACCCAAACCGUCGUUGUAGAAGCUCAAGCAGUGAAGCCGUCGACGUCGCCGUCGCCGUUCAGUGAGACCCAGACGAUUACGGCGCCUAAUCCGAAAGCCCAAUCAUCAUCAUCGGAUCUUCCGGAGGGAACUCAAUGGCGGUACAGCGAGUUUCUAAACGCGGUGAAGAAAGGUAAAGUAGAGAGAGUCCGGUUUAGUAAAGACGGUUCCGUUCUUCAGCUUACCGCCGUCGAUAACCGCCGUGCCUCCGUCGUCGUCCCGAACGAUCCGGAUCUUAUCGACAUCUUAGCCAUGAACGGAGUCGAUAUAUCUGUCUCUGAGGGAGAAUCAUCCGGUAACGACUUGUUCACUAUCAUCGGAAACUUGAUUUUCCCGAUCUUGGCGUUUGGUGGUCUCUUCUUGUUGUUCAGGCGAGCUGGAGGCGGUCCCGGUGGUCCUGGAGGUUUAGGUGGUCCAAUGGAUUUCGGACGCUCGAAAUCGAAGUUUCAGGAAGUGCCCGAGACUGGUGUUUCGUUCGCAGAUGUUGCUGGUGCUGAUCAAGCAAAGUUGGAGUUGCAAGAAGUUGUGGACUUUUUGAAGAAUCCAGAUAAGUACACAGCAUUGGGUGCUAAGAUUCCUAAAGGGUGUUUGCUUGUUGGACCGCCUGGUACUGGUAAGACACUCUUGGCCAGAGCGGUGGCUGGAGAAGCAGGUGUGCCGUUCUUUUCCUGCGCGGCUUCGGAGUUUGUGGAGCUUUUUGUGGGUGUUGGUGCGUCUAGAGUUAGGGAUUUGUUCGAGAAGGCUAAGUCUAAAGCGCCUUGCAUUGUGUUCAUUGAUGAGAUUGACGCUGUUGGAAGGCAGAGAGGAGCUGGUAUGGGAGGAGGAAAUGAUGAGAGGGAACAGACGAUUAACCAGUUGUUGACUGAGAUGGAUGGGUUUUCUGGCAACUCUGGUGUGAUUGUUUUGGCAGCUACGAAUAGACCGGAUGUUCUUGAUUCCGCGUUGUUGAGGCCUGGAAGAUUUGAUCGGCAGGUCACGGUGGAUAGGCCUGAUGUGGCUGGGAGAGUCAAGAUUCUUCAGGUUUCAUAGCUGUUUUUAUAAAAGGAUUUGUGGUUGUCUCUGGAGUAGUGUGAAUGACUCUUUGAAGGUUUCGUUUUUAUUGUAGGUUCAUUCUAGAGGCAAGGCACUUGGUAAAGAUGUGGACUUUGAUAAGGUUGCAAGGAGGACUCCUGGUUUCACUGGUGCUGAUUUACAGAACCUGAUGAAUGAAGCGGCGAUUCUUGCGGCAAGGCGUGAGCUUAAGGAGAUAAGCAAGGACGAGAUCUCUGAUGCUCUUGAGAGGAUCAUUGCUGGACCUGAGAAGAAGAAUGCUGUUGUCUCUGAUGAGAAGAAGAGACUUGUUGCAUACCAUGGUUAGCAUUAUUUUCCUGAUUCUAUGUUGUUGAUGAGACCAUAUGGGAUUUUUUUUUUUUUUUCUGACAACCUCAAGUGAAUUUUGAAUUUGCAGAGGCUGGUCAUGCUCUAGUCGGUGCUCUUAUGCCGGAAUACGAUCCGGUUGCCAAGAUUUCCAUCAUUCCUCGUGGCCAAGCUGGUGGGCUUACCUUUUUCGCACCGAGCGAAGAAAGACUCGAGUCUGGAUUGUACAGUAGAAGCUACCUUGAGAAUCAAAUGGCUGUUGCACUUGGUGGAAGGUUAGUUAGUAGUAAUGGCCUCAACACAAGAGCCAGGUUUUUGAAUUUUCCAAAGGGUUUGAUUGUGUUAAAACUUAAAACCAUCUCUCUCUCUUGUGUUGGCUAUGUCAGGGUUGCUGAGGAGGUAAUCUUUGGGACUGAGAAUGUGACGACUGGAGCAUCAAACGAUUUCAUGCAAGUGUCUCGUGUGGCACGUCAAAUGAUUGAGAGAUUUGGGUUCAGCAAGAAGAUUGGACAAGUUGCCGUUGGUGGCCCCGGUGGAAAUCCCUUUAUGGGUCAACAAGUAUAUAUUGCUACAUGAACUUGGUUUCUUGGUUUCGUCGUUAGCUUUGUUGGUUUGGAGAUGUUCAUAUCUAUGAAAUGUUUUUUGUGCAGAUGUCUUCACAGAAAGAUUACUCAAUGGCAACUGCGGAUAUUGUAGAUGCUGAGGUGCGAGAGCUGGUGGAGAAGGCAUACAAGAGAGCAACGGAGAUCAUAACAACUCAUAUUGAUAUCUUGCACAAGCUUGCGCAACUCCUGAUCGAGAAAGAAACUGUUGACGGAGAAGAGUUCAUGAGUCUCUUUAUUGACGGCCAAGCUGAGCUGUAUGUUUCUUGAUUCAUCAAAAUCUAUAAGUUAACAUUGCGCUCACAAUACCAUUAGCCCAUGUAUACUAGACCAAUACCUGCUCGUAUAUAUACUUCUUUUGGUAAACAAUCCAAAGUUAACAUUGCUCACAAUAUCAAAAAUCACUCUACAUCCCCUCUGAAUGAUCUUAAUUGAUAAUCACUUAUGGACUUUUAGAUAUAUGAUUUGUGUUCAUGUACAUCUUCGAUCUAUUCUUCAGUAUACACAGAAGUUUCUUUCUUUCUUUUUUCUCUUUACAGUCCAAAUACUUUCUAGUGUAAUGCAAUGUGUUCAGUUUACAAGCCGCUUGUCUUCCAAGAUGGAGGCUUCUUUAAGCAUGUUAGCCGAGUCUUGGAGCAUAUUCAGCUUUGCAAGAGCCACGGCCUGAAGGUAAAACGCAGUUGGCCAUUCGGGAUAGACGCACUGUGCUUGCAUCGCAUCUCGUAGUGCUGCGUCUGGCUGGUCGCAGAAGAGAUGGCACAUGCUUCUUCGUGCAUAAACAGUUGGAGAGAUCAUGAUCCCUGUUUCUAUGAACUGCAAAAAACAUGACUAUAUUACUACGAGAAAGUUAAUAGAAGGAAUUUUCAGGUGAGUAUGGUUUGUUUUCAGUCAUGCCUGAGUAUAUUUUUCGAUGGCAGAUUUGAAAUCUGUGUUCCGGAAAGCUGAAUCGCCUUGCUGUCUAGUGUUCCACACAUCUUUUAUCUGUUGAGCCCAUUGCUGGAAAGAGAGCUCACAAGUAACCUCGUCGUCUUUGUAAUCUGUUGCUUCAAGAAUCUGAUGUAGAGCUUCGAGGUCCAUACGGUGACAAGCAUCGUAAAUUAGAGAAUUCUGCGAUUCUGUUUCAGGGUUUUCGAGUUUCGAGAUUCCAAGCAUUUCAUAAGACGGAACAUCUGGUUUGUGUUGAAGUGUAGCAAGAACUGAGAUGAUAUCUUUGAUUUCCGGCCGGUCCUUUGGGUUAUUGUGGAGGCAUUUGGUUGCCAAAUCAAACACAGUGGCUGCUUCUUCCUCUGGAUAGUUUCCUUCUAAGUGUGAAUCUAUCAACACAAGUAAGUUUUCCUUUUGAAUUGUAUCAACCGCCUGAAAAGAGAUAAGACAUGGCGCCAUGUUUAACAAAUAGAACCAAACCAUUGUAGAAGAAUGCAAUAAUAGUCACUCACAUGGCUUGGAGGGACAUGUUUGCCACUAAGAAGAUCCAAAAGAAACGUCCCAAAGCUGAAGACAACACUCUCUGGAAUUAACGUACCUACCAGUAUAUAUAUACAUCAUUUGCCACACAACAAAACUUCUUGCAAUCUCUGAAAACGUUUUUAAGAAGAAAGUAAAGAGUAGUGGUAAGACAAAACGUUACCACUUCUAAGAUACUCGGGCGGUGUAUAAGCGAGAUUUGUGCUGAAGUUUUUGCCAUCUUUGCUAUGUUUCAUCCACCCAAAGCAUGAGAGACGAGGACUACCAUUCUGCCUGACAAAAACUCUUAGCCGUUUCUCACAGCAACAAAAUAAAAAAAAGACCAUUAAAUAUGUGCAAAUUAAAAUAGGGUUUACCUCAUCAAAGAGAACCCGAUAAGCAUUAAGAUCAUGGUACAAUUUGCGUCCACUCUGCCUACAAUAUUCUAAAGCUUCGGCUACAUAAAGUGCAGCUCUCAAUCGCAUAGCCCACUCCAUGGUUUGUUUCUCCCCUGUGACUCGAGCAAGAAAAGGCAAAAACUUGUCAAACAAGUAAAGAAACCUAAACACACAUAUUUACUCAGAAGAGUGAAGGAAGAAGGAAGAUAUAUAAGUUUUGGAAUAAUCUUACAGUGAAAUAGAUGCUUAGGGAGGGUGUCAUUGGGCAUGUACUCUGAGACAAGCAACCUUUCAUCUCCAUCACAGCAAUAACCUAUCAAAUUCACCAGUCUCAUAUGCCUCAUUUUCCCGAUAGCCCUAGCUUCUUCCUGCAUGAGAGAAUAAUUGGUAUUACCAUUAAACAUUUUACUUUUGAUAACAAGGUAUAAUCUUAAUCUGAAACCCAGACUAAGGAACUCGAUACAUCACAUUGACCCACAAGAUUAGUCCUCUACCAAAUGGAACAAACCACUAGACCACACGCUCUUGCUUUAUGUUGUUUCUAGGUGGCUUAAAUCUGUAAUGAACUGCUAACAGACUUUCUUGAGUGAGCAGAGGAAUGUUUAUUGUUGCUAAUCGUAUUAGAAUGGGUUUUAGGGCAUUCUAAACUUAUAAAUAUCGGUUUCAUUUACACAAUAAUAAAGAAACCUAGCCCAAUAUGUUUAGUUUUGAUUCUCACGAAUGCUCAACAGUUUAUCAUCAACAAGAAAAUGAAACAAUUUAGAAUAAGUUGAGGGUUUUUUUCAAAAAACAUACAGCGAAUUGUUUGGGAUCAGGCCAUGUUGAUUUCGAGAAUUUUUUGACGGCGAUUCGACGCAUGUCGCCUUUAAGACAACCUCGGUAAACAACAUUCGUUUCUUGGUCGGAACAAGAUGAUACGACAGCGUUUACGCUGAAGUUGUUCGUUGCGUCACGAAGAUCCGCUGCGGAGAACUCGGAGAAGUCCGGAACGUUGGAGAAAUGCCAUCCCCUUCCUCCGCCGCAGCCGCCGUCGCCGUCGUCUUUGUUGUUGUUACGGUGGUGAGGGUUACUGCGUUUGCCGCCACGACGGACGGAGAUAUCGUCGGAGUAUGUUUUUUUGGCAUGCAAUGACGACGGUUUCAAGAACGACGAUUUGCAGCAUCCCAUGACCCGAGGCGAGUCGACUCGUUGUAAAAACUCGUUCCUCAGACCAUUAAUUGUACGUUUGUACUUUCUUCUUUAAUUGUUUCUCCGAUCACUUUGGCAUAUUUGUUUUUCCUCUGCUUUCCUUUGCUUUUGCAACCUCCGUAAUUUCUAGGGUCUUUGCAAAGGAUCGUUGGUUUCAAGUUUCAACAAUAUAAGGGUUGUUUUGUCUUUUUCAUCUAACUGAAAAGUCUAAUUUCCCAUUCUCUCGCGCGAUAUUUUAGGUUUUAGUUUGUUUUUAUAACCAUUUUGGACCCAAUCAAGAUGAUGACAUACCGAAUUAAUUUUUUCUCCCAGGCACAUUUACCGAGAAUUACUGUUUUUUGACCCUAGAUCUACUUUUACCAUUCUCACCCACCUUUCUUUCCUUCUUUUAGUAACUUUUUCAAAUUUCUUAUCCUCUUUGGCUGGACUUCGCCGGGUUCACCCCGACACCCUGUCGGAGGGUCCGUUUUCUGCCACUGGUAAGCCACCCUCUCUCCCUGCCUGAAGCUUGAAGGUGUAUCCUCAGCUUUGUACCACCCCAAUCUAGUGAGGACAAGCUGAAAAAGAGUGGGUUCAUCCAUUUUCAUUCGAUUCGGCAUGGCUCACAAGAUUUCUCAACCUGAAAAAGGGAAAGCAAUAGAGAACAUGAGUAAUGAUCCGAGAUCUGUAAGAGUUAAGGUCAAAGACUCUGACAACUCCUCUCUACUCUUGAUGCACUCGCUCACUAUUGUUGGAAGGGUCACAAACCCUAAAUAUCAAAAAGUUUGGUCUAUCAUCCCUUUCUUCACCAAUCGAUGGAAGACAGCAGUCCGACCAAUAGGUGCAGACCUCGGUGAAGGCCACUUCCGAUUCCAAUUUGCUAGCGAGGAGGAUCUCCAGCUGAUUCUCGCUAACCGACCUUACCACUAUGCAAAGUGGAUGCUCAUCAUUCAGAGAUGGGAACCCUCUAUUUCUAGAUAUUUCCCCUCCCUCAUUCCUUUUUGGAUCCAAGUCCAGCGAUUCCCAGUGCAUCUCUGGACAAAAGAAACUCUUCAAAGCCUCGGUGACACUAUUGGCCAAUGUGAAGAGGUGGAUGUGACCCCCCUCACAGCUCGAAUCAGGGUCCAUGUUGACGAACUAAAACCUCUCAUCACAACCUCAAUAGUGGAGUACCCGAAUGGUGAUGAAGUCCAUGCCUCCCUGGUCUAUGAGAGACUCGAACGCCACUGCUCAAGAUGUAUGAGGCUCACUCAUGAAGAUAACCUCUGCUUUGAGUUCCCUUCUGCUCAUGGCCAGAAGAAGUCCCUCGAGACCUCAUCCCGAGUGAAGGAGCAUGGAACUUCCACCGGAGGAGCCCCACCCCAUGACUCCAUGAAGACGAAAUUUAGUGAAUCUUCUCAGCGAGUCCAGGUCCCCCCUAGAGGUGACUGAAUCCCUCCCCCUCCUCCCCCGAGGAGCGAUAUCCGUUCUGGAAUGGUUCCUGAUCCUCAGGGGAACCGUCUGAAGUCAGCUCACCUCCCCUUGGAAGAAAGCCAAGACACCCGCAGAUCGUCCACUUUCCCAAAGAACCGAGCCUCACCUUCUGAGUUUGGCUCGGUUGGACAAUCAAAGCACAUUAGACCCGGCAAAGCGGAGCGUGCCCGCCUCAGGGAAGCAGCCUUAUUAGCAACCCCUCCAAGAGAUCCCAUUAAAGCUGGAGAUUUCUCUACCUCCCAAACCUCAGGCAACAUCAAUCCUCCAACUCCCCCGCCACCAAAGCCUCAGGAAGCGCUCGCGCAAGCCUUGGCUGAGGUAAGAGAUGUUAUGCUUCGCUACUCAAACUGCUCGGAUCCGACUGAGAGUGCGGCUCGGAAAGAACGUUUUAGAUUGGCGGAGGAAUCUGGCCAACUCCUCGAAACCGCAAUCCAAAUGGUCCAAUCAACGAGAGGGCAUCUUAACCUUCCGGAAGAGAACUCUCCUGACAUUUCUCCUGCUCCUGAGCACGACCGUAUUCCGGCUAGGAUGAGACUUGGGCCCUUCAAUCCGGAGAUGGUUCUAUCUCCCGGUGGGGUCUCAAACCUCCCCCCUCUAGUUCCCCCUAAGCGCAAACCUGGAAGACCUCCAGGGCAAAAGAAUAAGCAACCUAUCAUCGGAUCUAUCGCAAGCACAAAUCCGAGGAAAAGGAAAGUGCGCCAAGUGAAAAAUUCACCUCGGAGGAAGCUCCUUAUGGGGUCAUCUUCAAGAGGAACCGGCAAGAACUCUGAAGACAGAAGUGGCGACCCCUCUGCGUUCAAGCCGAGGGAGAAUCAAUCGAUGGCCGACCCGCCUCAACCUAGCACCACCCUUAUCCCAAAAUCGAGGAGAAGUAAGCAGGAUUUUCCUUCUCCAUCCGAUCGGCUUCCUUAAAGGUGGUCAGCUGGAACUGUCAAGGGUUGGGGAACCCCCUGACAGUCCAGCGAAUCCGGGAGUUUCGUCGGAGGCUAUUCCCGGAACUCAUUUUUCUAUCCGAAACAAAAAAUUCUGAUGAAGUCGUGCAUAAGAAGCUCCAGUGUCUGAGCACGUUUCAACACCAUCUUGUUCCCCCACAUGGCAUCCGAGGUGGAGGACUAGCUCUUUUUUGGCGUCAGGAGCUAGAUUUCGAAAUCCUUGAGUCCUGUGACAAUUUUAUUGAUACAAAGUUGUGAUAUGAAGGCAAACUUACCUUCCUCACAUUCGUCUAUGGAAAUCCGGAGAGAUCAAAGAGGAAGGAAACAUGGGAUCACCUCAUCUCCCUGGCUCAAGCGAGAGAUGGACCUUGGUUCUUAACUGGAGAUUUUAACGACAUUACGGACAGUUCGGAGAAACUGGGAGGCUGAUGAGUGGAGAUUUUGACUCAUUCUAACUUGUGUUUACUGAUUGUUUUAGGAGUUUUUGGAGUCUUUUCAGGAAGUUUCAGGUGACUUGGAGGCCUUAUCAAAGGAUUGGAGUGUUUAGGAGGCAUUGGAGCAAAAAGAGAUGAAUUUGAGCAAUAAAGAGCUAUUUCACACGUUUUUGGAGAAAUCAUCCCCGGAGCACCUGCUCCCGGUUUGGACCCUUCGUAGAGCACCUGCUCCAGACGGGAAAAAAAUAAGGAAAUCGACUUUUACCUAAUUUUGGGAGGAGAAAGAGAAUAAAAAGCCCACAGCCGCCUGUGUUUUAUUAUCACGUUUUUCUACAGACUUUCUACGCUUUCUUUUUACAAUUUCCUGAACCAUAGAGUUUUUACUUGUAAGCCUUUGGGGAGAAGAAAUCUGCUACACUUUGAGAAGAAUUCUGAACCCUAUUAUCUCUUCUGCGAUUUUAAUUCAUGAAUUCCUUUCCAUCUGUUUCUGUGUUUCUUUUCUCCAUGUCUGAGUAGAUCUCUUAGCUAGAUUAAAGCGUUCAAAGGUUUCCAUGAGUUAGAGGAUUAGAUGCAAAUAGGGCUUGAUAUCUAUUGUCUUCACCAUUGUUAGACUUAAUGCUUAGGUUGAAUUGAUCACUCAAUCUGCGAUUUUAGGUUAAUCUGUUCAUCAAAAGUGUAAUAGGUUGCUAGAAUAAACAUUGGUGAGCGAUUUGUCCUUAGCCAACGACAGUUGAAGUUAAGGCAAAUCGUGAACAGAUCAAACCUGCUAGCUAAUGCUUGUCUGCAAUUUUCUAGGUUCAAACGACAGUUUAGGAUUUAGGUUGUUAGACAAAGUUAUCGAGAUCACGACAGUGGAUCGAUAAGCUUUUCUGUUUGAGUUCGAGACUUGCGUUACACUUGUGCCCUGAAUAGUCAUCUGGUUCUUAUCUCUGAAAUUCCUGCGAAUUGCUUUGGUCUAGUGCUUGUUUUAAUUUGAAUUUAAAUCGUUGUUUGCCAUUCUGUUACUUUUUAGUUUUCAAAACAAACCAUCUUUCGUCUUAGCUUUAAUUCAAUCCUCACAAAUUCAUAGAGUAACACUGGUCCUCUGGAUUUCGAAUCCUUUAUAUUACAACUACAUCACUGUUCUAUUGCAGUAGAAACUAGGAGUACAUCUAGUGAGAAUCAAAUUUUGGCGCCGUUGCGACGGGGACCAAUUCGUUACCUUUGAUUUUUGGUUUGAAAUUCAGACUAAGGCUUUACUAAUUUUUCUCUCUUGUUCUCUUGUUUGCGUGUGUUUCAGGUGUAUGUCAAACAUAUCCACAAGGAGCAACUGCACCGAUCUUGUUUCUUUGUCGAACACCGAUCUAGCAAGAGUCGAGCGAGAAAACAGACGUCAAAGGCCUAUUCAAGCUAACAUGGGCGAUCAAGGCAACAAUGGCAACAUGGCUGUCGAGGUUCAACAGCUUCGACAGCAAUUGGAGCAGCUGCAAAAGGCGCAGCAAGACAGGGAGCAGCCACAACCUGCUAUUGGAGAGAAGGACAGUCCGCAUGCUUACUAUCACAACAGGGCUGCGAUUGCUCCUCCAACCAUUCAGAGGCAAGACUUUGAGAUCAAACCUCAGCUGAUCUCAUUAAUGAAGCAGCACCUCUUUCAUGGGCUUCCUGCUGAGAUUCCGAUGGACCACAUCGAGAAUUUUGAGGAGAUUUGCAGCACGACUGGAUCAAAUGGGAUACCAGCCGAUUUCUUGAAGUGCAAGCUUUUUCCAUUCUCACUUGCGGACAAAGCUUUGCGCUGGCUGAAGUCAUUACCACCUGGGUCAUUGACUACAUGGGAAGAGUGCAGAUCAGCGUUUUUGGACCAUUUCUACACUAAGGCAAAAACUGCAGCUCUGAAGAACAAGAUCUCGUCGUUUAAACAGCAACCUGGUGAAGCUUUCUGCGAAGCUUGGGAGAGGUACAAGGAGUACCGAAGAGAGUGCCCUCACCAUGGGUUCUCUGAUGAGCAGAUCCUGUCAACCUUUUAUGAUGGUAUCAACUGGGAUUACAGGAAUGCUUUGAAUGCAGCUAGCAAUGGCGAUUUCAUGACUAAGUCCAAAGAAGUUGUUUAUGAGUUGAUUGAGAACUUAGCUGCAAGCUCCAGCAACAAAUCCCAAGAGUAUGACAGGUCUAGCAAAUCAGUUCAUAGUGUGGAGUUGAGCAAAAUCGAUGAGCUUACAGCAAAGGUGAAUCUGCUGUUGAGAGAGAACCAGAGAUCUGUGCAUUUUGCUGAUGAGGUUGGUGAUGCACCGCUUGCUCAAGAGUUUGUAGAUGCAGAGAAUAAUGAUCAGAUGGAGGUAAAUUUCGUGAAUGGACAAGGGUAUGUGCAGAAUCGCAGUUUCAAAAACUUCAGAAGCCACCCGAAUUUAUCCUACAGAAGCAACAAUGUUGAGAACCCUCAGGAUCAGGUCUAUCCGCAGCAAGGAGUGCAGAAUCAGUCAGGAUUUCAGAAGAACUUCUCCAGCAACUUCCAAGGAAAGCAGUUCAUCACCAAUCAGAAUCGAUUUCAAGGUGGAAAUCAGCAGAAGUUGCCUUUCAUAAGUCUACAGCCUUCUUCGAGUUCCUCAAAUAACUCGCAGGAUGAGCUGAAAAACUUGAUGCAACAGCUGCUGGUUAAUCAGCAAAAGUCUUCCAUGGAGAUUAAUGCCAAAGUGGACACCAUGUACAAUGAUUUGAAUGGCAAGUAUGAGGUUGUGUGGACUCAUGUGAAGAAGCUGGAUGUUCAGGUAGCUCAGACUGCAGAAGCUGUGAAGAGAUCACCUGGAACUCUCCCUGGAAAAGGUGAAAACCCCAGGAAUGAGUUUGUGAAUGCUAUUGAGCUUAAAAGUGGGAAGAUUCUACAUGCUGCACCAACAAGCUCUGUCUCAGAAAAGAGGAAGAAAAAGGACGUGGAGCACCUGCUCCAAAAAGAAGAACCAGCUCAUGACGUAAAAAAGACGAAUGAGCACUCUUCCUCCAUCGGAGCACCUGCUCCAAAAUCUGGAGCACCUGCUCCAGACGUAGAUUUGACGAGGGAGCACCCUGAGCCAACGAGGGAGCACCUGCUCCAGCCACAUGCCCCAGCAAACAUUCCUGCAAGAGUUUACACGCCUAAGGUACCUUACCCAGUUCCACCAAAGAAGUCUCGCAAGGACUUAGAGGAUGCAAAGUGCAGAGAGAUGCUGAAGGAUUUGACUGUAAAACUCCCUCUAGCUGAUGCUGUUCAGAUGAUACCAGCCCUUAAAAGAUACAUGAAGGGGUUAGUGUCUGGGAAAGCUGUUGAGAAAGAGAGUGUCAUGAUGGUUUCGAAGAAGUGCAGUGUUGUGCUUCAGAACAAAGUGCUGAAGAAGAGAAGUGAUCCAGGAAGGUUUGUUCUCUCAGUCAAGAUUGGGAAUGUAUUGUUUGCAAGGUCUCUCUGCGAUCUGGGUUCAAGUGUGAAUCUGAUGCCUUACUCUGUAGCCAAGCGAUUGGGUUACACCAGAUUCAAACCGACGAAAAUCUCGCUGGUAUUCGCUGAUAGAUCAACCAAAUUCCCUGUUGGUAUACUUGAGGAUCUGCAUGUUCAGAUAGGUGAUACACUCAUUCCAGCAGAUUUUGUGGUUCUGGAGCUUGAUGAAGAACCCAAGGAUCCUUUGAUAUUGGGUCGAUCCUUCUUAUGCACAACUGGUGCAAUCAUAUAUGUGAAAGAAGGAGUGAUAGAUCUCCAGCUGGGAGAUAUGGUGGUGCGAUUUGAGAUGAAUAAACUCUUCAAGAAACCAAUGCUGGACGGACAGACAUUUGUCAUAGAUGAUGGUUCAGGCAUUGCUGAAGAGGUUGCUGAAGAGGUUUUGGCCAUCGAUCCUCUUGAAGUUGCACUCACCAAAGCUGAAGGAGAACAUGGGUAUUUGAGUGAAGAAGCUGAUGGGUUUGCAAAAAUGCUGAAUGCAAGCACGAGAAUGCAAAGGCAGGUGGCGUAUAUGAGCUUAGAAGGCAAGGAGAGCUCACCUGCAGAAAAAGCCGACGGAGCACCUGCUCUGAAUCCUGGAGCACCUGCUCCCGACGGUUUGAUUGAUGGACCUUGGAGCGAAUUGAGAGCUCCGAAGCUUGAGCUCAAACCCCUUCCUGUGGGGCUCAGGUACGCGUUUCUAGGACCCAAUUCGACAUUCCCUGUGAUAGUGAACUCUGAAUUGAUUAAUGUAGAGAUUGCCUUGCUUCUUUGUGAAAUUAGAAAGUAUAGGAAAGCUAUAGGAUAUUCACUAGAUGACAUUCCAGGGAUUUCUCCUGAUCUUUGCAUGCAUAGAAUACAUCUAGAAGAUGAAUCAAUGACUUCUGUAGAACAUCAGAGGAGGUUAAACCCGAAUCUACAAGAUGUUGUAAAGAAAGAGAUAAUGAAACUUCUAGAAGCUGGUGUGAUCUAUGCAAUUUCAGAUAGUAAUUGGGUUAGUCCGGUUCAUGUAGUUCCUAAGAAAGGUGGCAUCACUGUGAUAAAAAAAGAUAGGAAUGAAUUGAUACCAACUAGAACUGUUACUGGGCAUCGAAUGUGCAUAGAUUACAGGAAAUUGAAUGCUGCAACUCGCAAAGAUCAUUUUCCUUUACCAUUUAUCGAUCAGAUGCUUGAACGCUUGGCUAACCAUCCUUAUUACUGUUUCUUAGAUGGUUACUCAGGUUUCUUUCAGAUCCCAAUCCACCCGGAUGACCAGGAGAAGACGACAUUCACAUGUCCUUAUGGCACUUUUGCAUAUCGCAGAAUGCCAUUUGGGUUGUGUAAUGCUCCGGCAACAUUCCAACGCUGCAUGAUGUCGAUUUUCACUGACCUGAUUGAAGACAUAAUGGAAGUUUUCAUGGACGAUUUUUCUGUCUAUGGAAGCUCCUUUUCUGUUUGUUUGUCUAAUCUGUGCAGGGUCUUGCAGCGGUGUGAGGAGAAGCAUCUGGUGCUUAACUGGGAGAAAUGCCAUUUCAUGGUAAGAGAUGGGAUCGUGCUGGGACACAAAAUCUCAGAGAAAGGGAUCGAGGUGGACAGGACAAAGAUCGAGGUGAUGACGAGUCUGCAGCCACCAACAUCAGUCAAGGGGGUUCACAGUUUUCUGGGCCAUGCAGGUUUUUACAGGCGCUUCAUCAAAGAUUUCUCGAAGAUUGCCAGGCCCCUGACACAGCUGCUGUGCAAGGAUGUGAAAUUCGAGUUUGAUGAUGCAUGUUUGGAGGCAUUUCACAGGAUAAAAGGAGCUUUGGUCAGCGCUCCUAUUGUCCAGCCACCAGAUUGGGAACUACCUUUUGAGGUCAUGACCGAUGCUAGCGAUUAUGCAGUGGGAGCAGUGCUGGGACAGAGGAAAGAAAAGAGGCUCCACGUCAUUUAUUAUGCUAGCCGAACACUCGACGAGGCUCAGUGCAGAUAUGCCACAACUGAAAAGGAGCUUCUUGCAGUGGUUUAUGCUUUUGAGAAGUUCAGGUCUUACCUUGUUGGGUCGAAAGUUGUUGUUCACACAGACCAUGCAGCUCUGAAAUACCUGUUGACGAAGAAGGACGCCAAGCCAAGGCUCCUUCGAUGGAUCCUUUUGCUGCAAGAGUUUGAUUUGGAGAUUAAAGAUAAAAAAGGGAUUGAUAAUGGUGUUGCAGACCACUUGUCGAGGCUGAAGAUAGAUGAUGACAUUCCACUAAAUGACAGCCUUCCUGAUGAACAAGUUUACGCCAUAGAAGUUUCUGGGUUCGACGAGCACCUGCUCCCCACCGGAGCACCUGCUCUGACGAGUUUUUGCAACCAAGUUGACAUAGAUCGGCAUUCUGGUUUCCCAUGGUUUGGAGAGAUUGCAAAUUACCUUGCUGCAGAGCAGGAACCUGCAGGUUUUGUGGGAAACAAAAAGAAGAAGUUUCUAAAGGAUGUGAGGCACUACUUUUGGGACGAGCCUUAUUUAUACAGGCAUUGCUCUGAUGGAAUCUUCAGAAGAUGUGUAGCUGACGAGGAGAUACCAGGAGUGUUGUUUCAUUGCCAUGGAUCCUCUUAUGCAGGUCACUUCGCCACUUUCAAGACUGUGUCGAAAAUUCUCCAAGCUGGGUAUUGGUGGCCGACGAUGUUCCGAGAUGCAGCGAGUUUUAUCUCUAGGUGUGACACAUGCCAGAGACAAGGGAACAUCAGCAGGAGGAAUGAGAUGCCUCAGAAUUUCAUCUUGGAAGUAGAGAUUUUCGAUGUGUGGGGUAUAGACUUCAUGGGACCUUUUCCACCAUCUUAUGGGAAUGAGUAUAUUCUGGUGGCAGUUGACUAUGUAUCAAAGUGGGUGGAAGCUCUGGCUAGUCCCACAAAUGACGCAAAGGUGGUUUUAAAGAUGUUCAAAUCUGUCAUUUUUCCCAGGUUUGGUGUGCCGCGAGUGGUGAUUAGCGAUGGAGGCUCUCACUUCAUCAACAAAGUCUUUGAAAACUUGUUGAAGAAGAAUGGUGUAAGGCAUAAGGUGGCGACCCCAUACCAUCCUCAGACGAGUGGGCAAGUUGAGGUUUCCAAUAGGGAAAUCAAGAACAUUCUGCAGAAGACUGUGAGCACCACAAGGAAGGAUUGGGCAGUGAAGCUUGAUGAUGCUCUUUGGGCAUACAGAACAGCUUACAAAACACCUUUCGGGACUACACCAUUCCACUUGGUGUAUGGGAAAGCAUGUCAUCUUCCAGUGGAACUUGAGUACAAAGCUGCUUGGGCAGUGAAGCUGCUGAAUUUCGAUGCAAAAAGUGCUCAGGAGAGGAGAGUAAUGCAGUUACAUGAGCCGGAGGAAAUUAGGCACCUGGCCUAUGAAAACUCGAAGAUUUACAAAGAAAGGACAAAAGCUUUUCAUGACAAGAGGAUCCUCAACAGAAGCUUUGCACCAAACGAUCAGGUAUUGCUCUUUAACUCUAGAUUGAAAUUGUUUCCAGGGAAGCUGAGAUCGAGAUGGUCUGGACCAUUCACCAUCAAGGAGGUUCGACCAUAUGGAGCUGUAGUGUUGCUGGACACUAAAGGAGGCGAGUUUGUUGUCAAUGGACAGAGGUUGAAACCAUACCUUGCUGGUCCAAAUAUCGCAGAGGGUGAAUCAGUCACCUUAAGCGAUCCUCCUCAAGCCUAAAUGGCUUUCCAAGUCAAGCUAAUGACUUAAAACAAGCGCUUGGUGGGAGGCAACCCACCGGUAAGAGUCUCUAACUUUGUGUCUUUCAAUUCUUAGCUACUAACUCUGUUUUUUAGGUUCUUUCUUUUCCAAAAAAAAAAAAAAAAAAAAAAAAAAAAAAAAAGUGGUAAAGCAGGUAGAGAGGUUUUCAGCGAUGGAGGUGAAAAGAAGAAGAAGGAGGGAGCAACCUACCGGAGCACCUGCUCCAUCUGCUAGGUUGGUUGCUCACCACGUAGAAUUCGACGAACGAGCACCCUGCUCUAGUUUGGAGCACCUGCUCUGCCAGGGUGUUUGGCGCUUCCAGGUAAGUUUUUAGGGGAAAAUUGGGGUUUUAAUGGGAACUCAGGGGCUAGUGUGCAAAUUUUAACAAAAGAUUUAUUUUACACAGAAUUUUACCCUACCUGAGUUUCCCCUUCCUUUUUUUUUUUUUAAAACCCCGACCCAUAAACACCUCCUCCUUCCUCCUUUCUUCUUCGCCAUACUUGAUACUUGAGCUCAAAACCCAGAUUUUUCAAACUUCACCGAUUUCAACGUUUUUUGAGUCUAAGUUCAUCGGUUUUUCGUCCUCUCUCCGUUUCUGCAACCAAUUUCGACACCCAGCAAAGAGCAGCAUCAGUUUACAUCUAUGUGAUUAUCCGUUCUACAUACACACAUGCAAAACUCUGCUCGAAAAAUUAGGUUGGAGAUUUUCUAUGGGCUUAAUUGUUUUCUUCUUCAAUGUUGUUCCAGGAAUGCCUCCCAGAACAAUGUUCAAGAAGAAGGGAAAGAAGAAAAACGGUGAGGGAAGUAAACCUACCUCAUCGACGUAUCCAUGGCCUCGCGAAGAAAACACACCGAUCGAAUUGCCUGAUGAGUUGAUACCCGAACCAUCGGACGAGCAGUGGGACCAAACGGACUCGUUCUAUUACAACAAGCUGCUCACCAUCAAACUGCAACCAAAUUUAGUGAUGUGCACAGACACACUAAAACGGUUGGGAAUCUUCGAUGAGGUGAGCAUCAUCCUGCGCAACACGAAGCUGACGCAACUCGCUUUCGAGGACGACGAUCUCUACCCUGAUCUGGUCCGCCAAUGCCUCGCAUCUGCAAAGUUGAGGUACGCAAAUCCGACGAAGCCAAAGGCCGAUGAAGCGACUUUCACUUUCUUUGCUGAAGGGAAGCGCUAUAGCAUCGACAUGGCAACGUUUUGCAUGGCUUACGGGUUUCACGACGAGGACAAAGAGCUGCGUUUCCCGAGUAAGUUUGAGGUUGCCAACCAAUUUUGGCAAACCAUCGCCUCCGGCCACUACAAGUCGAACACGGCAAGUGUAUCAGUCAUUCGCCACCCAGCUGUUCAAAUCUGUGCGAAAAUCUUCAACAACAUGCUGUUCAACCGCGAUUCUGGGAAUAAGGUAGCGCUGGAUGUUUUGAUGUUGCUUUACUUUGGUUGUGGUGAUUUGGUUGCAGACUCUUACAGCGUCAGUGUCCCGGUCGAGCACAGUAUCAACUUUGGAGUUCAGCUGGCGCAAACCAUAUGCGCAGUGAGGACCAAACCUUUUGGGAGUUCGCAGGUCAUUUACAUUGGGAGUCUCCUCACAGCGCUUUUCACUUUUGCUCAUAUUCCUCUUUGGUAUGCUACAAAAGAUGUGAGCCGAAGGAGAAUGGACACAGCCCAUCUGCUGACUUCAGGUUUUCUAUGCGAUGAGAACACCUACAGCUACAAAGGUGCUUACGGAGUUGCACAGCGCACGCCUCUCCCAAAUCCUGCCAUGACUGCACUAAACACUGCAGCUAACCUGCGUUUCCUGAUGGAGGUGCCCCUUUUAGCUGAUGCAGCACACGACGGAGCACCCGCUCCGAAAUCCGGAGCACCUGCUUCGAGUUCCGGAGCACCUGCUCGCGCCAGUUCUUCACGCUAUCCACAUUCACCGCAGGGAGAUGAGGAGCUGCCUGACUACAUUUCAGCUGAUGCUGGUGAGUUCGAUUUAGCUCCUAUCUCUGAUGAUCCUUAUGAUGCAGAGUUUCAGAGGUGGAUGGUCGCGUCUACAAAGAAGAACAACAGCCUCAUGAAGAGGUUGUUGCAGAUGCUUACCAGUGGAUGUCGUAGCAGCACAGCGACCGCAGCCAGUUCUCCGGAGAGGCACCCGAGACGCAGACGUCGCACUGGUGGAUCUGGUAGUGAGAGCCCAGAGGACACCACCACUCACUGACCGCUAGUAACAUCUCUCUACCACCAUUGUAUUAUCCGCCUUGGUUUCUUUUCUUUUAUUUGUUUCGACAGGAUUUUUUUUCUCUGCUCCUAUUUGUACACCAGGGACGGUGUAUAAUAAGUUCGGGGGAGGAUCUUGUCAUCUUUUGCAUUUUCUUGUGUUUUUCUUGAGUCAGUUUUAGUUUGUUUCUUUGAGUUAUUUUGUUUCUUUGAGUCAGUUUGUUAUAUGAGUCAAGUCAAAGCUCGUGGGAAUUAGGACCAAUUCUAUGAUGAUUUCUGACCAUUUGUGAAUCUUGACCACCUUCUUCUAGUGAUUAUUGCUGCAGAAUCAUCUAGAUCGACUAAUGGAAAAUCCAAAGACAAAGCAGUAGACUAGAGGAGCCCAAAAUUCUUGACACAUCCAAUGAACCUGAGCUAAUUUUUCAGCUUUUCAUUUUCCUCAUCGAUCAGGUUAGUGCUCAUAGGGCUUGAUUCCUCAUUCUUACCUGACAAAUAAAGACCUGUGUGAUAGAUUUGGUAUUCCUCUCUUAUGUUCUAAGCAUUGUUUCAGGCUGUUUCUAAAAAAAAUAUGAUCAAAAGGCAGAAAAGAUUGAAAUGAUUUUCUUUUAAAAGUAAAGGGUUAGGAAAAUUUCUAAGGAUCCCAUUAUUUUACUUCCAAAGUGGAAUGAUCACACAAGGGAUGGAAGCGAGGGGUAGGAAAAUUUCCUGUGACCCCAUUAUUCGCCUACACCUUUGAUAUAUGAUGAGGGGACAAACCGGGGAUUCGGUGGCAAUCACCAUCAAUACUCGCGUCUUUGAACCUUGUUAUAUGUGCCAAAAAAAAAAAAAAAAAAAAAAAAAAAACGAAACAGCUUGAAAAGUGAAUAAGUUCGGGGGAGAGGAAAGGUACUUUUGUGUAGUAUGGUCAAUUUGUUGAGGUAUAAGUAUGGGAACGAGUCUAGAAGGUCCUUAGCACUGGGUUUAUCGAUGAGACUCAGCGAUGAUGGGACAUGGAUGAUGUUAUGAAAUUGAGGGACUAAUCUGGAAAGCUGCAGCGUCUACGGAGAAGUACAUGGAGGUUAGAUUUUUGAUUGAUUUUGCAGCAGAUUGUCACAUGCCUUGGUCAGGUUUACGGUCUUUUGAGUUUUGCGAGUUCCCAGCUUUAUCCAGUCAUUCUUUUGGAGUUGAAUUUGAUUUUGUUUGAGGACAAACAAGGAUUCAAGUUCGAGGGAGUUGAUGAGUGGAGAUUUUGACUCAUUCUAACUUGUGUUUACUGAUUUUUUUAGGAGUUUUUGGAGUCUUUUCAGGAAGUUUCAGGUGACUUAGAGGCCUUAUCAAAGGAUUGGAGUGUUUAGGAGGCAUUGGAGCAAAAAGAGAUGAAUUUGAGCAAUAAGGAGCUAUUUCACACGUUUUUGGAGAAAUCAUCCCCGGAGCACCUGCUCCCGGUUUGGACCCUUCGUAGAGCACCUGCUCCAGACGGGAAAAAAAUAAGGAAAUCGACUUUUACCUAAUUUUGGGAGGAGAAAGAGAAUAAAAAGCCCACAGCCGCCUGUGUUUUAUUAUCACGUUUUUCUACAGACUUUCUACGCUUUCUUUUUACAAUUUCCUGAACCAUAGAGUUUUUACUUGUAAGCCUUUGGGGAGAAGAAAUCUGCUACACUUUGAGAAGAAUUCUGAACCCUAUUAUCUCUUCUGCGAUUUUAAUUCAUGAAUUCCUUUCCAUCUGUUUCUGUGUUUCUUUUCUCCAUGUCUGAGUAGAUCUCUUAGCUAGAUUAAAGCGUUCAAAGGUUUCCAUGAGUUAGAGGAUUAGAUGCAAAUAGGGCUUGAUAUCUAUUGUCUUCACCAUUGUUAGACUUAAUGCUUAGGUUGAAUUGAUCACUCAAUCUGCGAUUUUAGGUUAAUCUGUUCAUCAAAAGUGUAAUAGGUUGCUAGAAUAAACAUUGGUGAGCGAUUUGUCCUUAGCCAACGACAGUUGAAGUUAAGGCAAAUCAUGAACAGAUCAAACCUGCUAGCUAAUGCUUGUCUGCAAUUUUCUAGGUUCAAACGACAGUUUAGGAUUUAGGUUGUUAGACAAAGUUAUCGAGAUCACGACAGUGGAUCGAUAAGCUUUUCUGUUUGAGUUCGAGACUUGCGUUACACUUGUGCCCUGAAUAGUCAUCUGGUUCUUAUCUCUGAAAUUCCUGCGAAUUGCUUUGGUCUAGUGCUUGUUUUAAUUUGAAUUUAAAUUGUUGUUUGCCAUUCUGUUACUUUUUAGUUUUCAAAACAAACCAUCUUUCGUCUUAGCUUUAAUUCAAUCCUCACAUAGAGUAACACUGGUCCUCUGGAUUUCGAAUCAUUUAUAUUACAACUACAUCACUGUUCUAUUGCAGUAGAAACUAGGAGUACAUCUAGUGAGAAUCAGAGGCCCAACCCGAGCGGAAGGCACCUUCAUUGACUUUCGAUCCUUUAUGUCUGAGGGGGACCUCUAUGACCUCCAGUACUCCG
rnacentral:lncRNA from 1 species